rnacentral:lncRNA from 1 species
AAAUCCUCUUCAAAAUGAUUUUUGACUCUAAAACUAAUCCGCGAACAGAGAUUCCGGCUAAGGAAUUCUGUUGACCGAGGGGAAGGUGUUAGGCACCCCUCGAUCCCGUGGUGCAACCACGGCCGCUUGGUAGAGCGUAUCAGCUAAUUUGACAUUACAAAUGUAUAAACCACACAAAACACGCAAAAAAAAACAAUCAAACAGGCAAACAAAAUAAAACAAUCCAAAAUUUAACGUCCAAUCCAAUUUAUUACAAACCCAAAAUAAAAAUACUGAAAUGACCUACACUAAUCCUAAACUAUGCUUUACCCGAUUUCUCUGACCUUGAUCACAAACAUCUUUCGCGUACAAAAUUCUUUGGGGCAUUCUCCGAUGAGUAAAUACAAAUGACCUCGGGGCAUUCCCCGACUAAAUGAAUACACUUUCAAAUCUUUAGCGAUAAAGUAGAAAGAAACAUUGACACGCACAUUCAAUCAUUCAACAAAACACAACCUAAAAUUUGCCUUCUCAACUUAGCAUUUGCCUACCCUACUCGACUUAUUAUAAUACUAUCAAGUUCGAUUAACGUUCAUUUCAAGUUAAACAAUAACUCAUGAAUCAAACCAACCAAAACUUACCCUUUUUCAGCAAGUUUCAAUUGCACCCCUAAAUUCCUUUUUAAUUUUUAACAAAAAAAAAAAGAAUCAAAACCAACAACUAUUCAUCGCCAACAAUGAUCAACCACAACACACAAUAUUUCAUUUAAUGCACCGAAGAUCAUAAAUGAUAAAUUAAAAGGAAAAGAGAGUAGAAUUGGAUCUCAAUUUGAAGCUUUAUUUCAAUUAAUUGAUCUUUCCAAAUAGAACUGCGUCCAAACAGAACCUCAAUGUUGAACCCCAACCAACAAACCCAAAUAAAAAAACUUCGAUCUCGAACUCCAAUUCACUAGAACCCGAUGGCGAGCAAGGCUCCACGAAGAACAAACGAAAACAAAAAAAUAUCAAAAUCGAGGCUCCGAAUGGGAAAAACCAGAAGCCGAUAUGACUGUUUCCGGAUUAGAAUCAAUUAGAGUCAGCCUGAAAAUGAUCAAUUCAAACCAGUGGUGACAGGAAUUAAAUGUUUUCCGGUGAAAGGAUGUUAUUUCUGGCCAAGAACGCCAGAACAGUCAACCCUCAUCCCUUUUCUCUCCUCUCUCGCUUAAAUACCCAUUUCUCUUCUUCGUUUCUUCCUUUCUCCGACCAGUUCUCGCUCUCUAUAUGUGUGCGCAGCAGCAGAAAAGGAGAAGAAAAAUGAAGUCCUCAACAACCUCUUACCCCAAUUUCCCUCUGUUCUUGCUACUGAUUUUUGUACAUCAACAUCAGUGUGCGCGUGUUCUUCUCUGUGUGCGUAUAGAAUUGUGUAUGAGAAUCUCCCAGAUGUUGAUGAAGAGAAGCUGUGAAUCGUGAAGAAGAAAGAAGAAGAGAAAAAAAAAUGGAAUCCUGCCCAAUGUGUAUAAAUGGAAUAUGUAUGUGAAUAUAUGGUCCCUUCCCGUGUCCAUCCCCUGGGUUAAAAAAAAACGUGUAAAAAGGGGUAGGGGGUAGGGUAGGGUAGUGAUGAUGUGGGGUAGGAUAUGGGUUAGGGUGUGAUGUGUUUUAUUUUGAUUGGAUAGGUUGUUAAGAUAAGAUGUAGGGAUUAGGAUAGGAUAGGAUAGAAUUUGUUGGGGAGUUUGUUAUUUUUUGUAUUUUGUGAGGGUAUAAUAAUAUAGACGAGGGUACACAGUAGGAUAAAAUAAAAAUAGGUAGAAGUGAAUAAAAUUGAACUUUAAG